GAACGAAGCAUCCAUCAAGCUUAUGUAGAAGCAAUAAGGAGGGCUGAGAAGUUCAUCUACAUUGAGAACCAAUAUUUCAUUGGAGGAUGCCAUUUAUGGGAGAAGGACAGGCAUUGCGGAUGCAGAAACUUGAUCCCUGUAGAAAUUGCACUCAAAGUAGCGAACAAGAUCAAGUCAAAAGAGAGGUUUGCAGUGUAUAUAUUGAUACCUAUGUGGCCUGAAGGAGUGCCUGAAAGUGAAUCAGUCCAAGAUAUACUGCACUGGACAAGGGAAACAAUGUCAAUGAUGUAUAAGCUCAUCGGUGAAGCCAUUAAAGAGAGUGGUGAGGCAGGUCAUCCACAAGAUUAUUUGAACUUUUUCUGCCUCGCAAAUAGGGAAGAAGAGAACAAAGGAGAAUAUGUGCCUCCAUGUUCUCCUCACCCCUUGACACAGUACUGGAAUGCCCAGAAGCACAGAAGGUUUAUGGUAUAUGUCCACUCCAAGCUAAUGAUCGGUAUGUCAAUUUCUGUGUUAAGCAAAUAACUGAAUAUACAUUUUCUAUCAGCAUAAAUAUUUAGUUUCAUUAAUUAUUUAAAAGUAUCUUCCUUUCAUAUUAUUUCUCAGUGGAUGAUGAAUACCUUCUAAUCGGAUCAGCCAACAUAAACCAACGAUCCAUGGACGGGCAACGGGACACUGAAAUUGCAAUAGGAUGUUACCAGCUCAAAACUGAUAAUGAUCAUGAAAUCAAAACCAUAAGCUCUGGUGAUGUACAUGCUUACCGUAUGACACUCUGGUAUGAGCAUGCUGGACUAAUUGAAGCAUCAUUUUACAUGCCUCAAAGCCUGGAAUGUGUGCAUAGAAUACGAUCCAUUGGACAAAAAAUGUGGAAAAUUUACAGUGGAGAAGAAGUUGUUGACAUGGAAGGGG
rnacentral:lncRNA from 1 species